AGUGAACGCUGGCGGUAGGCCUAACACAUGCAAGUCGAACGGCAGCACAGUAAGAGCUUGCUCUUACGGGUGGCGAGUGGCGGACGGGUGAGGAAUACAUCGGAAUCUACUUUUUCGUGGGGGAUAACGUAGGGAAACUUACGCUAAUACCGCAUACGACCUACGGGGGAAAGCAGGGGAUUUUCGGACUUUGCGCGAUUGAAUGACCGGAUGUCGGAUUAGCUAGUUGGCGGGGUAAAGGCCCACCAAGGCGACGAUCCGUUGCUGGUCUGAGAGGAUGAUCAGCCACACUGGAACUGAGACACGGUCCAGACUCCUAAGGGAGGCAGCAGUGGGGAAUAUUGGACAAUGGGCGCAAGCCUGAUCCAGCCAUACCGCGUGGGUGAAGAAGGCCUUCGGGUUGUAAAGCCCUUUUGUUGGGAAAGAAAAGCAGCAGGUUAAUACCCCGCUGUUCUGACGGUACCCAAAGAAUAAGCACCGGCUAACUUCGUG
rnacentral:rRNA from 1 species